CCUUAGAGUUUGAUCCUGGCUCAGGACGAACGCUGGCGGCGCGCCUAACACAUGCAAGUCGAACGAGAAAUGAGGAGCUUGCUCCUCAAAUCGAGUGGCGAACGGGUGAGUAACGCGUGAGGAACCUGCCUCAAAGAGGGGGACAACAGUUGGAAACGACUGCUAAUACCGCAUAAGCCCACGGCUCGGCAUCGAGCAGAGGGAAAAGGAGCAAUCCGCUUUGAGAUGGCCUCGCGUCCGAUUAGCUAGUUGGUGAGGUAACGGCCCACCAAGGCGACGAUCGGUAGCCGGACUGAGAGGUUGAACGGCCACAUUGGGACUGAGACACGGCCCAGACUCCUACGGGAGGCAGCAGUGGGGAAUAUUGCACAAUGGGGGAAACCCUGAUGCAGCGACGCCGCGUGGAGGAAGAAGGUCUUCGGAUUGUAAACUCCUGUUGUUGAGGAAGAUAAUGACGGUACUCAACAAGGAAGUGACGGCUAACUACGUGCCAGCAGCCGCGGUAAAACGUAGGUCACAAGCGUUGUCCGGAAUUACUGGGUGUAAAGGGAGCGCAGGCGGGAGAACAAGUUGGAAGUGAAAUCCAUGGGCUCAACCCAUGAACUGCUUUCAAAACUGUUUUUCUUGAGUAGUGCAGAGGUAGGCGGAAUUCCCGGUGUAGCGGUGGAAUGCGUAGAUAUCGGGAGGAACACCAGUGGCGAAGGCGGCCUACUGGGCACCAACUGACGCUGAGGCUCGAAAGUGUGGGUAGCAAACAGGAUUAGAUACCCUGGUAGUCCACACCGUAAACGAUGAUUACUAGGUGUUGGAGGAUUGACCCCUUCAGUGCCGCAGUUAACACAAUAAGUAAUCCACCUGGGGAGUACGACCGCAAGGUUGAA
rnacentral:rRNA from 1 species